rnacentral:rRNA from 1 species
CCUACGGGUGGCUGCAGUAGGGAAUAUUGCUCAAUGGGGGAAACCCUGAAGCAGCAACGCCGCGUGGAGGAUGAAGGUUUUCGGAUUGUAAACUCCUUUUGUUAGAGAAGAUAAUGACGGUAUCUAACGAAUAAGCACCGGCUAACUCCGUGCCAGCAGCCGCGGUAAUACGGAGGGUGCAAGCGUUGUCCGGAAUCAUUGGGCGUAAAGAGUUCGUAGGCGGCACGUAAAGUCUGGUGUUAAAGGCAGAGGCUCAACUUCUGUACGGCACUGGAUACUUGCGAGCUAGAAUGCGGUAGAGGUAAAGGGAAUUCCUGGUGUAGCGGUGAAAUGCUUAGAUAUCAGGAGGAACAUCGGUGGCGUAAGCGCUUUACUGGGCCGUAAUUGACGCUGAGGAACGAAAGCCAGGGUAGCAAAUGGGAUUAGAUACCCCGGUAGUC